rnacentral:rRNA from 1 species
CGGAGGAGAAGAAACUAACCAGGAUUUCCCUAGUAACGGCGAGCGAACCGGAAAGAGCCCAGCUUGAAAAUCGAGGUGCCUCGCACCUCGAAUUGUAGUCUGGAGAAGCUACCUCUGCGGUGCCUCGGACCCAAGUUCUCUGGAAAGGGACGUCGGAGAGGGUGACAACCCCGUCGCGUCCGAAGCCGUGCCGCUCCACGAUUGGCUGUCUGCGAGUCGGGCUGUUUGGGAAUGCAGCCCUAAGUGGGUGGUAAAUUCCAUCCAAGGCUAAAUAUGGGCAAGAGACCGAUAGCGAACAAGUACCGCGAGGGAAAGAUGAAAAGGACUUUGAAAAGAGAGUUAAAAAGUGCUUGAAAUUGCUGGGAGGGAAGCGAAUGGAAGCUGCGGGUGUGCCCCGGUUGGAUGUGGAACGGCUUCGGCUGGUCCGCCGCUCAACGCGGGGCGCUGGUCAACGUGGGCCGCUCCGGCGGGACAAGAGCGGGGAUGCGUUCCCCGCCUAUGCCGUUGGGGCGGCCGAGGAACUUGAAGCGCGCGCCGCUCGCGGCGUGUCCCCGGACAACUGCGCGCUCGGGACGUUGGCGCAUUGAGCUCUUCAUCCGACCCGUCUUGAAACACGGACCAAGGAGUCUAACAUGUAUGCGAGCCGGUGGGCGGCAAACCCAUUGAGGCGCAAGUAAACUGACAGGUGGGACCCCGUUCAAAAAGGUGCACCAUCGACCGACCGUGAUCUUCUGUGAAAGGUUUGAGUGCGAGCAUAAAUGUUGGGACCCGAAAGAUGGUGAACUAUGCCUGAGCAGGGCGAAGCCAGAGGAAACUCUGGUGGAGGCUCGUAGCGAUACUGACGUGCAAAUCGUUCGUCAGACUUGGGUAUAGGGGCGAAAGACUAAUCGAACCAUCUAGUAGCUGGUUCCCUCCGAAGUUUCCCUCAGGAUAGCUGGAGCUCGUGCGAUUGAGUUUUAUCAGGUAAAGCGAAUGAUUAGAGGCAUCGGGGGUGUAACACCCUCGACCUAUUCUCAAACUUUAAAUAGGUAAGCCGCCGGGGUUGCUUGGUUGAACCCCGGCACAGAAUGAGAGCUCCAAGUGGGCCAU